rnacentral:lncRNA from 1 species
AUCUCUGAUCCCUCCUCUCUCUCUGUCUACAUCUCUCCUUCUGUUAGUAUCUCUGAUCCCUCCUCUCUCUCUGUCUACAUCUCUCCUCUCCUUCUGUUAGUAUCUCUGAUCCCUCCUCUCUCUCUGUCUACAUCUCUCCUCUCCUUCUGUUAGUAUCUCUGAUCCCUCCUCUCUCUCUGUCUACAUCUCUCCUUCUGUUAGUAUCUCUGAUCCCUCCUCUCUCUCUGUCUACAUCUCUCCUUCUGUUAGUAUCUCUGAUCCCUCCUCUCUCUCUGUCUACAUCUCUCCUUCUGUUAGUAUCUCUGAUCCCUCCUCUCUCUCUGUCUACAUCUCUCCUCUCCUUCUGUUAGUAUCUCUGAUCCCUCCUCUCUCUCUGUCUACAUCUCUCCUUCUGUUAGUAUCUCUGAUCCCUCCUCUCUCUCUGUCUUCAUCUCUCCUCUCCUUCUGUUAGUAUCUCUGAUCCCUCCUCUCUCUCUGUCUACAUCUCUCCUCUCCUUCUGUUAGUAUCUCUGAUCCCUCCUCUCUCUCUGUCUACAUCUCCUCUCCUUCUGUUAGUAUCUCUGAUCCCUCCUCUCUCUCUGUCUACAUCUCUCCUCUCCUUCUUAUCUCUGAUCCCUCCUCUCUCUCUGUCUACAUCUCUCCUCUCCUUCUGUUAGUAUCUCUGAUCCCUCCUCUCUCUCUGUCUACAUCUCUCCUCUCCUUCUGUUAGUAUCUCUGAUCCCUCCUCUCUCUCUGUCUACAUCUCUCCUUCUGUUAGUAUCUCUGAUCCCUCCUCUCUCUCUGUCUACAUCUCUCCUCUCCUUCUGUUAGUAUCUCUGAUCCCUCCUCUCUCUCUGUCUUCAUCUCUCCUUCUGUUAGUAUCUCUGAUCCCUCCUCUCUCUCUGUCUACAUCUCUCCUCUCCUUCUGUUAGUAUCUCUGAUCCCUCCUCUCUCUCUGUCUACAUCUCUCCUCUCCUUCUGUUAGUAUCUCUGAUCCCUCCUCUCUCUCUGUCUUCAUCUCUCCUUCUGUUAGUAUCUCUGAUCCCUCC